UUAAGUAAGUAAGCGUACAUGGUGGAUGCCUUGGCAGUCAGAGGCGAUGAAGGACGUGUAAAUCUGCGAAAAGCAUCGGUGAGUUGAUAUAAAACGUUAUUAACCGGUGAUAUCCGAAUAGGGAAACCUGGUGUAAAUUUUUACAUCAUCGUUAAAUAAAUUCAUAGUUUAACGAAGCUAACCAAGGGAACUGAAACAUCUUAGUACCUUGAGGAAGAGAAAUCAAUUGAGAUUCCCUUAGUAGUGGCGAGCGAACUGGGAAAAGCCCAAAGUUAGUUACAAUAAUUAUGUUAUAAGAAUAGUUUGGAAAAACUAGCUAUAAAGGGUGAUAGCCCCGUAUUUUAAAAUGUAUUUAUUGUAAACUUUAAUGAGUAGAACGAGACACGUGAAAUCUUGUUUGAAUAUAGGGGGACCAUCCUCUAAGGCUAAAUACUACUGACUGACCGAUAGUGAACUAGUACCGUGAGGGAAAGGUGAAAAGAACCCCGGUUAGGGGAGUGAAAUAGAACCUGAAACCGUGUACGUACAAGCAGUAGGAGCAUCAUAAAUGAGAUGUGACUGCGUACCUUUUGUAUAAUGGGUCAGCGACUUAUAUUUUGUAGCGAGGUUAACUUAAUUAUAAGGGAGCCGUAGGGAAACCGAGUCUUAAAUGGGCGUUAAGUUGCAGGGUAUAGACCCGAAACCCGGUGAUCUAACCAUGAGCAGGUUGAAGGUUAAGUAACAUUAACUGGAGGACCGAACCGACUAAUGUUGCAAAAUUAGCGGAUGACUUGUGGUUAGGGGUGAAAGGCCAAUCAAACCGGGAUAUAGCUGGUUCUCCCCGAAAGCUAUUUAGGUAGCGCCUCAUAAAUUCAUCUACGGGGGUAGAGCACUGUUUCGGUUUAGGGGUCCAUCCAGGGCUACCAACCCGAUGCAAACUUCAAAUACCGUAGAAUGUUAUUAUGGGAGACACACGGCGGGUGCUAACGUCCGUCGUGAAAAGGGAAACAACCCAGAUCGCCAGCUAAGGUCCCAAAAUCAUAAUUAAGUGGAAAACGAUGUAAGAAGGCGAAGACGGCCAGGAUGUUGGCUUAGAAGCAGCCAUCAUUUAAAGAAAGCGUAAUAGCUCACUGGUAAAGUCAGCUUGCGCGGAAGAUGUAACGGGGCUAAAUUAUGUACCGAAGCUGCGGCAAUAAAUAUAUUACUAAUUAAAUUAUUUUUUAUAAUAGUUUAUAUUUAAAAAAAUUUUUUGUAAUAUAAGUUUAUUGGGUAGGGGAGCGUUCUGUAAGCUGAUGAAGGUAUAUUGUGAAAUAUACUGGAGGUAUCAGAAGUGCGAAUGCUGACAUAAGUAACGAUAAAGCAGGUGAAAAACCUGCUCGCUGAAAGACUAAGGUUUCCUGUUCAACGUUAAUCGGAGCAGGGUAAGUCGAUACCUAAGGCGAGACCGAAAGGUGUAGUCGAUGGACAACAGGUUAAUAUUCCUGUACUGAAUAUAACUGCGAUGGGGGGCGGAGAAAGCUAGAUUCGUCGGGUAACGGUUGUCCCGGUUUAAGCAUGUAGGUGGAAAGAACUAGAAAAUCUGUUCUUUUAUAACACUAAGAUGUGAUAACUAGUUAUUUAUAGCGAAGGAAUCAAUGCUAUGCUUACAAGAAAAGCCUCUAAGCUAUAGGUUAUAUUUAAUCGUACCUCAAACCGACACAGGUAGUCAGGUAGAGAAUACCAAAGCGCUUGAGAGAAUUCGGGUGAAGGAACUAGGCAAAAUGGUGCCGUAACUUCGGAAGAAGGCACGCUAACAUAUCAGUAAUGAAAUUCUCUUUCAAAGCUGAAGUUAGUCGAAGAUACCAGCUGGCUGCAACUGUUUAAUAAAAACACAGCACUGUGCAAACAUGAAAUUGGAUGUAUACGGUGUGAUGCCUGCCCGGUGCCGGAAGGUUAAUUGAUGGAGUUAUCUUUAAAAAGAAAAGCUCUUGAUCGAAGCCCCGGUAAACGGCGGCCGUAACUAUAACGGUCCUAAGGUAGCGAAAUUCCUUGUCGGGUAAGUUCCGACCUGCACGAAUGGCAUAAUGAUGGCCAGACUGUCUCCACCCGAAACUCAGUGAAAUUGAAUUCGCCGUGAAGAUGCGGUGUACCAGCGGCAAGACGGAAAGACCCCGUGAACCUUUACUAUAACUUGAUAUUGAAUUUUUAAUAUUAAUGUGUAGGAUAGGUGGGAGGCAAUGAAGUACAAUCGCUAGUUUGUAUGGAGCCGAUCUUGAAAUACCACCCUUUAAUUUUAGAUGUUCUAAUUUAAAUCCGUGAAUCCGGAUUGAAGACAGUGUCUGGUGGGUAGUUUGACUGGGGCGGUCUCCUCCUAAAAAGUAACGGAGGAGCACAAAGGUUAGCUAAUCACGGUCGGAAAUCGUGAGUUUAGUGCAAAGGCAUAAGCUAGCUUAACUGCGAGAGUGACAACUCGAGCAGAUGCGAAAGCAGGUCUUAGUGAUCCGGUGGUUCUGAAUGGAAAGGCCAUCGCUCAACGAAUAAAAGGUACUCCGGGGAUAACAGGCUUAUACCGCCCAAGAGUUCAUAUCGACGGCGGUGUUUGGCACCUCGAUGUCGGCUCAUCACAUCCUGGGGCUGCAGCAGGUCCCAAGGGUAUGGCUGUUCGCCAUUUAAAGUGGUACGCGAGCUGGGUUUAGAACGUCGUGAGACAGUUCGGUCCCUAUCUGCCGUUGGCGUUGGAAGAUUGCGAGGAGCGACUCCUAGUACGAGAGGACCGGAGUGGACGUACCUCUGGUGUUCGGGUUGUCAUGCCAAUGGCAUUGCCCGGUAGCUACGUACGGAAAAGAUAACCGCUGAAAGCAUCUAAGUGGGAAACUUGCCUCAAGAUUAAUCUUCCCAGAGAUUAUUGAUAGUCUCCUAAAGGAAUGUCAAAGACUAUGACGUUGAUAGGUCGGAUGUGUAAGCAUUGUAAAAUGUUGAGCUAACCGAUACUAAUUAUCCGUGAGGCUUAAUUCA
rnacentral:rRNA from 1 species